AUUUCUGCAGAGAAGAAUCAGAGGGAAGAGACGAUCAGUGGGACUGGGUGUCUCCGGAGAGAUUUAAAUCAACGGUGAUAUUUUGGUUGUCUCCCUUUUGGAAAGUGAACACAAAAAGUGAAAAGAAAUAACAACACAUCACAGGAACCCAGUGUUCCAAGAAUACCAAGCAUAUGUAAGAAGCUUGAAGGUCAAUCUGACUUCAAAUUGCAUAUUGCAGAAUUUCAACAAAGAUACGAGGCCCAUCUCUGCUUCCUUUAAAAAAAGAAAGAUGAAGAGUCUGAUGGACAGGGAAGCUAAGAAUCUUGACUAAGAUCAUGUAGCAAGUACAUGAGGAAGCAAGGAUGCAAACCGAGGCAGAAGGACUCCCAAAGCCGUAUUCUGAAGGAUGAGGCAGCGUGUAUGUGUGGUGUGGAGGACCUGAUGGAGGCCACAACUCAGUACGCCCAGUUACCAACCCACACUCUGAGAAGACCCAGCCCCUCCUGCGCACACACAUGCAGCCUCUUACAUGGGCCCCCUUUACUGUCACCCCUGCCCCACCUGACUGUAAGCAUCACGUGGACAGAGAUCUUGUCUGUUUUGUUCAUGACUGUACUGUCAGUACUGAGCAUUUUACCUGUCAUGUUGUGACCUUGGAUUAGUAUUCAUUGACUGAACAUUUAAUAAAUAGAUUUAGUGGCUAUUGAUUGAAAUGUGAUUUCUUGUAGGCUACUACCCAUUCCUUAGGGUGGUUUUACAUAAGACCACAGAGUCUAGUAAAAAAGACGUGGGAUUCAGUCCCCAGUAGCUUCGGUUCUAGUCCCAACACCGCAGCAUCCCGGCUCGGAGGCCCUGCACGAGCC